rnacentral:rRNA from 1 species
UAAUACGUAGGGUACGAGCGUUGUCCGGAAUUAUUGGGCGUAAAGAGCUCGUAGGUGGUUGGUCACGUCUGCUGUGGAAACGCAACGCUUAACGUUGCGCGUGCAGUGGGUACGGGCUGACUAGAGUGCAGUAGGGGAGUCUGGAAUUCCUGGUGUAGCGGUGAAAUGCGCAGAUAUCAGGAGGAACACCGGUGGCGAAGGCGGGACUCUGGGCUGUAACUGACACUGAGGAGCGAAAGCAUGGGGAGCGAACAGG